GGAUUGACUAGUUAGGCUGGACUCUUAAGCCCUGCAACAUUGCUUAACUCUGCAGAGAGACAGCGAGCUAUGAGUUCAGUGUGGUUGGCUGAAGUUGCUUUGGAUCAAGUAGAAGACUGAUCAGCAGGGUGAUGCACAUAUAAGCUAGGGGUGCUCUUGCUAGCCCACUAGAAGACUAAAUGGUUUCAUUCUUGAUCAUGGCUGGGGUUCCUGAGGAUGAACGCUCUUCCUGUGCUGGGGACUGAAGCUAUCGCACCAAACACCAAACUAAAGGAGGCCUAUCGGCAGCUGGCAGUGACAAGUGAUGGUAAAACUCAUCCUGGACCUCGGAGCUUCUAAGGGUUUUGUGGGCAGCUUAGGGACACUGACAGCUGCCUAAAAGGCAGAAAGUCUAUGAGAUGAAAUGAAUGGUAGAGAAUGUGCUGGAAUGGUCAGUGAAUGAAUCGAGGUGUAAGAGGAACUCAAGGCGGCCGUGACUUCUGUGAUACAUAGCUGGUAUCAAGGAAAGCUUUGGAGGUUUGAAACGCACCAGGCACUUAAGAGUGCUGGACACUGUGCUAAGCCUAAUAGACUGUACCCUAAUGGGGCAGGGGACUCGGAGGUAGUAAACCAUGUUAGGCCUCAAGAUCACCUACUGUGUACUGAUGGUGGGAAGGUCUAUGACAUCAGAGUGGGAUAGAUGACAGCAUGAGAAUCUCCCAGGAUACCCAGAGUUCCAUAUUACAUCACAUUUGGUCCUGGGUUACUGGGGACCAGUGAUCCAAAGAGAGCCAUCCCAGAUGUCUCUCCUGCUGAUCUUCAGGAUUUCUUGAGCCCCAUUCUUCAAUUAGCCCCUGGCCAGAUGUCCACUGGGAACUUCUGUGCUGUCCUUCAGCCUGGCUCUGGGGUCACUGCAGCCUCCAAGGCCAACACAGUACACGAAAGAAGCCAGAUCAUCACUGUGGAAGUGUGAGGAGGCCCUUCUCCAUGGCCGGCAUCCCUGCUCGCUCUUCUCAGAAGAGGGCCGGGGUACGAUGGCAUCCAGGUCAUCAAUCUCUGUAACAGGAAAAGGAGGAAUUAGAAAGGGAGCGAUGUUUCCAGUGCAAAGCUCAGAGAUUGGUACAAAACAGAUCACUGUAUAAGCUCAGAACUCAUCUGUCUUCUCAGAAGAACUCCCACACCCAGAGCUGGAGACAUACUUAGCCGUCAGAGCACUUGUCUUACAAGAAGAGCCAGGUUCAGUUCCUGACACCCACAUGAUGCUUCGCAGCCAUUCAUCCCUAGUUCCAGAGGAUCUAAAGCCCUCUUCUGACCUUCUCAAGAACCAGGCUAUCAUAUGGUGCACAAGCAUACAUACACCAAGGCAAAAAUGUCCAUACAUAUAAGAAAUUUAAAGAAUAAAGAUUAAAAAAGAAAUUCCCCCACCCACUCACAGUCCUUUCCACUCUCCUCCAGCCUCUGUAACUACUAAUCCUCUCCGGAUGCUAUGAAUUUGCCUAUUCCUGGCAUUUUGUAUAAAUGAAAUAAUAAAAGUGGCCAUGUAUGACUGACUGACUUUUGA
rnacentral:lncRNA from 1 species